rnacentral:rRNA from 1 species
GAGUUUGAUCCUGGCUCAGAUUGAACGCUGGCGGCAUGCCUUACACAUGCAAGUCGAACGGCAGCACGGGAGCUUGCUCCUGGUGGCGAGUGGCGAACGGGUGAGUAAUGCAUCGGAACGUAUCCUGGAGUGGGGGAUAACGUAGCGAAAGUUACGCUAAUACCGCAUAUUCUGUGAGCAGGAAAGCGGGGGACCUUCGGGCCCCGCGCUCUUGGAGCGGCCGAUGUCGGAUUAGCUAGUUGGUGAGGUAAAGGCUCACCAAGGCGACGAUCCGUAGCAGGUCUGAGAGGAUGAUCUGCCACACUGGAACUGAGACACGGUCCAGACUCCUACGGGAGGCAGCAGUGGGGAAUUUUGGACAAUGGGGGCAACCCUGAUCCAGCCAUGCCGCGUGAGUGAAGAAGGCCUCGG